CACGAUGUGGCGAAGUCUGGCAUCGCACCAGUUUCGGGAACUGGGGACCGUCGGUUCAAAUCCGACCAUCGUGA
rnacentral:tRNA from 1 species